UACGUAGGGUGCAAGCGUUGUCCGGAAUUAUUGGGCGUAAAGAGCUCGUAGGCGGUUUGUCGCGUCUGCUGUGAAAACUCGGGGCUUAACUCCGGGCCUGCAUUCGAUACGGGCAGACUAGAGUUCGGUAGGGGAGACUGGAAUUCCUGGUGUAGCGGUGAAAUGCGCAGAUAUCAGGAGGAACACCGGUGGCGAAGGCGGGUCUCUGGGCCGAUACUGACGCUGAGGAGCGAAAGCGUGGGGAGCGAACAGG
rnacentral:rRNA from 1 species